AACGUAGGUACCGGGCGUUAUCCGGAUUUACUGGGCGUAAAGCGCGUUCAGGCGGUUUGGCAAGUCGGGCAUGAAAUCUCUCGGCUCAACCGGGAGAGGUUGUCCGAUACUUCCAGACUUGAGGGCAGUAGAGGGUGGUGGAAUUCCGGGUGUAGUGGUGAAAUGCGUAGAUAUCAGGAAGAACACCAAUGGCGAAAGCAGCUCUCUGGGACGGUACUGACGCUGAGACGCGAAAGCGUGGGGAGCGAACAGG
rnacentral:rRNA from 1 species